CCUACGGGAGGCAGCAGUGAGGAAUAUUGGUCAAUGGGCGCGAGCCUGAACCAGCCAAGUAGCGUGAAGGAUGACUGCCCUACGGGUUGUAAACUUCUUUUAUAAAGGACUAAAGUGAGGCACGUGUGCCUUUUUGUAUGUACUUGAUGAUUAAGGAUCGGCUAACUCCGUGCCAGCAGCCGCGGUAAUACGGAGGAUCCGAGCGUUAUCGGGAUUUAUUGGGUUUAAAGGGAGCGUAGAUGGGUUGUUAAGUCAGUUGUGAAAGUUUGCGGAUCAAACGUAAAAUUGCAAUUGAUACUGGCAGCGUUGAGUACAGUUGAGGUAGGCGGAAUUCGUGGUGUAGCGGUGAAAUGCUUAGAUAUCACGAAGAACUCCGAUUGCGAAGGCAGCCUACUGCCACUGACAUUGAUGCUCGAAAGUGUGGGUAUCAAACAGGAUUAGAUACCCUUGUAGUC
rnacentral:rRNA from 1 species